GCACUGCUGACGAGUCCCAAACAGGAUGAAUCAGCUGUCCAGUGC
rnacentral:hammerhead_ribozyme from 1 species